CAGUUCCUGGUGAUUUCGAACGCCGCGAUCCGAAGGGCAGAUAGAGAAGCCGGCUGCCCGCGCUAACUACAAAAGCAAUCGGGAACUUUGAUUUCUAAAGAGCUGGUUGCGCUGACCUAACUUUUUCUCUAUUCCAAUGGUUUAGAUUAGAAGAGUAUUUUGGCCGCUGAGGAAGGUGGUGUCGCCUUUAUGCCGUUGAGUAUAAUAUGAUUCUCCCUUCAGUCUGGAGAAUUGCCCUCUUCCAAAAUGGCAAACGGGGGAAGGCAGGCAGAGAACAGUCAUAGACGUUGGAAAAGAGGUUUCUUUAACGCUGAUGAAAACAAGGGAGCGGUUUUAUCCAUGUGGCAAGCAAAUUAGGAUUUCCUGAAUGUGUCAGAGUGGCACAUAUUGAUGCAGCAAAGGUGCUCUUUGCACUGCAGAUCCUAGUGUUGUGACUCAAGCUGAGAAAAGGGGGCAGCUGAGCACCAGGCUUCUUGAUCUCUCUCUCUUGGCAAUAGCUGAGAGGCUGUUAGUCAAGACAAGUUUCUAUUCAAAAUUGAAAUAAAUUUUAAACGUUUAUUAACAAAAA